rnacentral:rRNA from 1 species
GAUGAACGCUGGCGGCGUGCCUAAUACAUGCAAGUCGAACGCUGAGGGAGGAGCUUGCUUCUCUGGAUGAUUUGCGAACGGGUGAGUGACGCGUAUGGAACCUGCCUGUAAGCGGCGGGUAACUAUUGGAGAAGCUAGCGAAUACCGCAUAAUAUAAAAUGUUGCAUGACAUUUACUUAAAAGAUACGAUUUCAUCACUACCAGUAGAUCCUGCGGUGUAUUAGCUAGUUGGUGGGGUAACGGCUUACCAAGGCGACGAUACAUAGCCGACCUGAGAGGGUGAUCGGCCACACUGGGACUGAGACACGGCCCAGACUCCUACGGGAGGCAGCAGUAGGGAAUCUUCGGCAAUGGACGGAAGCCUGACGGAGCAACGCCGCGUGAGUGAAGAAGGUCUUCGGAUCGUAAAACUCUGUUAUAAGGGAAGAACGAGUGUGUGAGUGAAUAGUCACGUCUGGAAGGUACCUAAACAAAAAGCGACGGCUAACUUCGGG